GACGAACGCUGGCGGCGUGCCUAAUACAUGCAAGUUGAGCGCUGAAGGUUGGUACUUGUACCAACUGGAUGAGCAGCGAACGGGUGAGUAACGCGUGGGGAAUCUGCCUUUGAGCGGGGGACAACAUUUGGAAACGAAUGCUAAUACCGCAUAAAAACUUUAAACACAAGUUUUAAGUUUGAAAGAUGCAAUUGCAUCACUCAAAGAUGAUCCCGCGUUGUAUUAGCUAGUUGGUGAGGUAAAGGCUCACCAAGGCGAGGAUACAUAGCCGACCGGAGAGGGUGGUCGGCCACAUUGGGACUGAGACACGGCCCAAAGUCCUACGGGAGGCAGCAGUAGGGAAUCUUCGGCAAUGGACGAGAGUCUGACCGAGCAACGCCGCGUGAGGGAAGAAGGUUUUCGGAUCGUAAAACUCGGUUGGUAGGGAAGAACGUUGGUGAGAGUGGAAAGCUCAUCAAGUGACGGUAACUACCCAGAAAGGGACGGCUAACUACGUG
rnacentral:rRNA from 1 species